GGGCACUUGGCACAGUUGGUAGCGCGCACGCUUCGCAUGCGUGAGGUCGGGAGUUCGAAUCUCCCAGUGUCCA
rnacentral:tRNA from 2 species